rnacentral:rRNA from 1 species
CAAAUUUCUGCCCUAUCAACUUUCGAUGGUAUGGUCUUGGCUUACCAUGGUUUCAACGGGUAACGGGGAAUUAGGGUUCUAUUCCGGAGAGGGAGCCUGAGAAACGGCUACCACAUCCAAGGAAGGCAGCAGGCGCGCAAAUUACCCAAUCCCGACACGGGGAGGUAGUGACAAUAAAUACUGAUACAGGGCUCUUUUGGGUCUUGUAAUUGGAAUGAGUACAAUUUAAAUCCCUUAACGAGGAACAAUUGGAGGGCAAGUCUGGUGCCAGCAGCCGCGGUAAUUCCAGCUCCAAUAGCGUAUAUUAAAGUUGUUGCAGUUAAAAAGCUCGUAGUUGAACCUUGGGCCUGGUUGGCCGGUCCGCCUCACCGCGUGCACUGGUCCGACCGGGUCUUUCCUUCUGAGGAGCCGCAUGCCCUUCACUGGGUGUGUCGGGGAAUCAGGACUUUUACUUUGAAAAAAUUAGAGUGUUCAAAGCAGGCCUAUGCUCGAAUACAUUAGCAUGGAAUAAUAGAAUAGGACGUGUGGUUC